AACGAACGCUGGCGGCACGUUUUAAGCAUGCAAGUCGAAUGGCAGUGGGGGCAGCCCCAUGAGAAUGGCGAACGGGUGAGUAACACGUAGGUGAUCUGCCUGACGGAUGGGGAUAGCUUGUGGAAACACAGGGUAAUACCGAAUGAGCUGACGAGACUUUGGUUUUGUUAGUAAAGGUGCUACGGCACCGCCGACAGAGGAGCCUGCGGCUGAUUAGCUAGUUGGUGGGGUAAAGGCCUACCAAGGCGACGAUCAGUAGCCGGCCUGAGAGGGUGUACGGCCACACUGGAACUGAGACACGGUCCAGACUCCUACGGGGGGCAGCAGCUAAGAAUCUUCCGCAAUGGGCGAAAGCCUGACGGGGCGAUGCCGCGUGAUCGAUGAAGGUCGAGAGAUUGUAAAGAUCUUUUCUACAUGAGGAAUAAGUCUGGGAGGGAAUGCCUGGAUGAUGACGUUAGUGUAGGAAUAAGCCCCGGCUAAUUACGUGCCAGCCGCCGCCGUAA
rnacentral:rRNA from 1 species